rnacentral:rRNA from 1 species
UGCAAGUCGAACGGCAACACGAGAGAGCUUGCUCUCUUGGUGGCGAGUGGCGGACGGGUGAGGAAUACAUCGGAAUCUACCUUUUGGUGGGGGAUAACGUAGGGAAACUUACGCUAAUACCGCAUACGCCCUUCGGGGGAAAGCCGGGGACCUUCGGGCCUGGCGCUGAUAGAUGAGCCGAUGUCGGAUUAGCUAGUUGGUGAGGUAAUGGCUCACCAAGGCGACGAUCCGUAGCUGGUCUGAGAGGAUGAUCAGCCACACUGGAACUGAGACACGGUCCAGACUCCUACGGGAGGCAGCAGUGGGGAAUAUUGGACAAUGGGCGCAAGCCUGAUCCAGCCAUACCGCGUGGGUGAAGAAGGCCUUCGGGUUGUAAAGCCCUUUUGUUGGGAAAGAAAAGCAAUCGGUUAAUACCCGGUUGUUCUGACGGUACCCAAAGAAUAAGCACCGGCUAACUUCGUGCCAGCAGCCGCGGUAAUACGAAGGGUGCAAGCGUUACUCGGAAUUACUGGGCGUAAAGCGUGCGUAGGUGGUGGUUUAAGUCCGUUGUGAAAGCCCUGGGCUCAACCUGGGAAUUGCAGUGGAUACUGGGUCACUAGAGUGUGGUAGAGGAUAGUGGAAUUUCCGGUGUAGCAGUGAAAUGCGUAGAGAUCGGAAGGAACAUCUGUGGCGAAGGCGACUAUCUGGGCCAACACUGACACUGAGGCAC